CUUAUCCGCCCCUCCUUUUCCGGCCUUCUCUCUCUGCUUCCUGCUCCAGCAUACAGGACUCUCUCUCUAAGGCAGAACCUAAUUUGAGAGGCCCAAUCCCUCCUAACAAAUGGAGGGUGCCGGAAUCACUGGAAGGAGACUAAAAUCCCAGCUAAAGGGAUCUGCUGCUCUCUUCACAGAAAAUCCGGAGCACAGAGACAAUGGUGUCUAUAGGACUAAGCAUCCUGGGUCCCCCCUGUGUAUGCAUCAGAAUGUCAGCUAAAAGUGGAUUCCAUGUAGCGGACUGCUGAAUGAAAAGGUGACCACAUAUCCUGUGUUCACUGUGUCAGACUUGUCUUCAUGGAUUCAGAGUUGCAGACUUCCUUUUUUCUCUCUAAUUGGGCAAGGUGAACUGAAUGCAGCUGGAUGUAGAGAUGCAGACGAGAAAAAAAAACAGGUAACAAUUUAUGCGAUCACUGAAGGUAACAUGCUUAAGCCACAAGUAGCUACAAAUAUCUAUAAACCGGUUUCUGGCUUUUUUUAUGCUCAAUGUUUUUAUUGCCAAACAAAUGUAGUGGCCCAGUAACUGAUUACUCCAUACACUACACUGUGUAGCAGGAGGUGCCUGGCUGAGUGAGCUGACAGGUCCUGUACAACUUUGUUAGCAUCUGACAUCUUUUACUGAAAAUGCUUAUUUGCAUUGCUAUAAAAAUGAUGCUUAUAGUCUGUGUAUGCGGCUGUAAUUGCAUAUGAAAGGUAUGUUAGUGUUCUAUGAAAGCACUAGCGUACCAUUUUGUAUACAGAUACAGCCGCGGUCAUACACAGAAUAUAGGCAUGCCGCAUAUCAUUUUAAUCUGCAUAAGAUGACUGUGCGUCCUAUUCGCAUCAUUUUCUGAAUAAGAUGUAGUUUAAUGGAAUAAUUUGCACGUACAGGCGCUCGGCGCUACAGUCACACCAUGGCAUGACUAUAAGGGUUGUUUAAUGUGCAGGGAGACUAUAUAUGUAAGUGGAUACAUCUGUAGGCGCAAGUGGGUAAAAUGGGGGCACAAGAUAUAAAGUAGUGAGGGCUCUUGUGAGAAUUUACAACCUAGAGGGAUGGGGUAGCUGGCGAUAAUGGGAGAAACAUGCAGCCAUACUAGAUGUGUAUUAUAUCCACAUCUGUUAUGGAUAUCUAGAAUCUGUUCUGUCAAUUGAUGUGCUAUCCUUCAACCUAGAACAUUACAAAUUCACUUAGCCAGAAAGUAGGUAUUUUGCAGAAUGCACUGGUGGCCAUGAUUUAGGUUCUUGAUUCUCCACUUUUAUUUAUACACACUAAACAAUAGUUUCACAACUGUUUCAGUAUUGGUAAAACAACAAAUAGCUUUCAGGAAGUUGCCAUUUCCUGGUCCGUUAGCUCCUCCUUGCUAGCCUCUCUCCCUCCUUCAGUCAGAGGGGCCAACUCAAUGAGGAGCCAGUCAGCUAAUCCUGCCAGUAGGUGUGUACAUAUAGUGUGCUGUAGCUCUGAGGGGUUAUGUAUGGAAUCCAAACGCUGAGAAUGCAGAUAGCUUUCGUAUUUUACACCUAACCCGCCCUACCACAGCUUAACCCAACCCAUCAUACUCACCUUGUGUCUGGAUCCUGACAGCAUCCCACUCUGAGAACGUGGAGUUUUGUUCCUAGUCCCACAGUGGUUACUGGUUUCGCAGUGCAGUUCAGCUCCCACGAUGGAGUGAGGAUAUCCUAUUGUCUGCCAAGUGGUGUGGUUUUUUAUUUAUUUUGUUUUUCCUUAUAAGAUGGUAAUUAUUUAUACCUAUGAGUACAAUGUUUGAAAACUUGUUGGUAUUCUGCAAUGAUGAGUUUGCAUAGUCCGUGUUUCACCUGAAACUACUAUGAUUAUGUCCAUGCCCUGAGCAGGUUUUUUUUGUAUAUGUAAAUAGUCUGCUAUGAUUUUGCUAAAUGGUAUUUUCCUCUAGAUGACUGCUUUGGGACCAAGUAUCCUGGGUCCACUCGGUGCUUGUCACACUGUCAGGUAAAGUGGACUGCACAUAGCCGACUGAGUGAGGCAUUGAAUGACCUGAAGACGAUGCAGUUGUGUGAAGCUCCUGCUGAAGAUAAAAGGCUUUGUGGCAUCUGUUGUGUAAUAAGUAUCUGUUAAUGACUUUGUUGAAGUGUUAAAGGGUUACUUGAGCUUAUAUUGUUUAUAAACAAAUUAUAUAGUUUGCUCCUUCUAAGCAAAACCUAAAAUAAACUACUUGAUUUAAAUCUAUACAAGAAGUUCAUCACAGUGCAGAAAAUGGUUAAUCCCCUACAGGUAUCUGACAUGGCCUAAGCACCUCUAGGCAAACAGUUAUUAAAAUGUGACCUACAUAUUGCAAGUGUUGGUUACAGCAUUAUAGUCAUACUUUAGCAUGGGUUCCUUCAGUGUAGCGUUGUCCAUAUGGCGCUCUAUUCUGGUCUGAAUGAUCAAUGUACAUAUAAAUCUACAAAGUGUAACCCCAGUGCUCCCCUGCAAGCAGGCGGUAAGCCUCACAUUUGGAACAGGUGGGAUGAGUCGAACGUGGGGUUUGCCCUUGGACCACGGACUAUCUUCAGAUUUUGGUACACAUAGACGCUUAUCAAUUGACACCUUAUAUCUAGCCUGAAAAACUAUUUAAAUAUACCUGCCUACUUUUGAAUGGACUGGUAUAUACGAUCAUUUGAUCAUGGGUACACACUGCCCAAUAUCUGUCACAUAUAUUGUGUACACAUGGACACCCAAUGGGAUACUUUGGGUGGGAUUCAAAUCUUUUAUUACCCCCAAUCUCCCGUAUGAAGUUACGGGAGGCCGCGGGGCGAUAUUCUCUGGCCCCCUGUUAUCGUGUCCAUAAGACGGAUUUAGCAGCUAAACCUGACUAAAGUCAUGGGCACAAUUGUGAAAAGUCCUAUUUGGGCAUCCAAACGGGUCACUUUUCAUGCAUUUCAGCUCGCCACCCAGGGGGUGGUGAGCUGAAAUGCUGAUAUCUCGCGCAUCAGCAGUAACAUUUGAAGCGGGAGGGGAGAUGCAAGAUUUGAAUCCCGCCAUUUGCAUUCAACUGAUUUAGUCAAUUUAGCUGGUUUAUGCCACAAAAACAUGUUACUUCUUGGUACAAUAAAACAAUUGCAUACUGCCCCAAGUGAUGGGGAAGAUGCCAUUCUGGGCAUCCAAUAAACAAUUGAACCACC